ensembl:lncRNA
UGAUAAAUCCAGCAGUAUGUGGCAGCCCCCUUUAGAUACUGAAAGGCUGCUGUCAUAUCUCCCCAGAACCUUCUCUUCUUUGUGAUGAACAGCCCCAGCUCUCAUCCUGUCCUUGUAGAGAAGUGUUCCAUCCCUUGGAUCAUUUUUUUGGCCCUUGUCUGAAUGUGCUCCAACAGCUCCAUGUCUCUCCUGUAUUGAGGACUCCACAUCUGGACACAGUACUCCAGGAAAGCUUCAGAUUUGAUCGAUUAUACUGCUUUUUGCCUGAAUUUUACCUGUACAGAUCAAUGACUACCAUACUAUACAUGUAAUACCUGAGCAAAUAAACUAAGCUUGCUAUAAUUUUAUUUAUGGGGCAUCUUCAAGGGAUAUUUACAUUCUUUAUAUUUUAUUUACAUUCUGAUACAUUAGGUUAUGAC